GCCUUGGUGGUGGAGCGGCUUUAACACAAGGUCCUGCAAAGACCUAUACUCGUCGGUUCGAAUCCGACCCAAGGCU
rnacentral:tRNA from 1 species